UCCGCUUAUGAAUUCCAAAACAUUGCAGAGCUUGACUGAUGCAAAUGCAUCUUUAAAAGUAAUGGCAAGCCCUCAGAAAAUGCAACAGUAUAUGGACCGGCAUAGGAUUGGACCACUUUUUGAGAGCCUUAUGAAUAAAGUUAUCCAUGAUCAGCCAGAUGACCCACUCAUAUAUCUGAUAAAAGUUCUGCAUAAGAAGGCAGGCUUGGAGGUCCCAAGAGAUCUCAAGGCUCAUGGAGUCAGAAAGAGUUCCCCAGAAAGAAUCGUUAGAAGUAAGAGUCCAGAGAUGAACAAGAAAACUACUCAGGCAUGGGGAUCUACAACACUAGGUGAUAUGGAACGUUCCUAUGACAAGCCUUGGCUAUCAAGCAGUAAGAAAGUUAAACCCAAGUCUGAAGAUUUCUCCACAUCUAAACAAGUGUAUACCAGCCCAUUUCCCUUGGUCAGUUCUGCUGUCCACAAAAGAAGCAAUAUACCCCAUGGUCCCUCUCACAGGUACCCCAAAAGUCCAUUUUCCCCUGACCUAGAUAAACUCCAAGAAGUUUUACAUAUUGAAAAGAAAUCAAUCACCCCAGGAAGAAAGCAGCCCAAACAACCAUGGAACCCUGACAACAAGGUGGGGAAGACAAGUUUUGAUGAUUUAUUUGAAGAUUAUCCAGAGGAGACAAAGACGGUGACCAAGAAAAGAGAGCCGACAACCGACACAAGGCAGACCUGGGCCACGGAUGAGGAAGCCUUUAAGAGUGGUGCGUAUAGAGGACCUACAACUUGCUCUGACAAGGAUGAUCCUUUGGCAGGGGAGCUAAUGAAUAAUAAAACAGAUAUCAGGGAUCAAACAGACGAAAAUAUUGUCAGUUCUGGUCAUGUAAAAGGAAGAAGGCUGGAUGCUAAGAAACACAGAAAAGAGCUUGAGAAAUUAAUACAGAAAUCGGAGCAGAAAUCAGGCGACUCGGGAUAUGAUGAGGGUUUGGAAGAAGAAGAUGAGGCCAUUGAGCUGCUAGAGGAUGCCAAUGACUUGAUGAAUGAAGGCGUAACUAAAAUCCCGAAAUCUGGAUAUAAGCUUAGUCGACUUUUACAGCAACGACAACAGGAUGCAAACAUCAAGCUUAACAUCAAGAUUGCUGACGCAUAUGAGGGUACACAACCAGCAGUAAGCUACACAGGAGAUGGAAUCUACAAAUCCCCAAAUGUUGACGAUUUGUUUGACACCGAUGAAGAGAGACCUGCUACUGGUAUGUCAGGAUUUCGAUCUUCACCUGGAGAUAGUGAUGAAGAAUUUGAGAGUGUGUCUCAAGUUACAGGUCCAAGAAGACCAGUGUGGAAUGCUGGAGAAGACUCAGAUGGUGAUUAUUCCUAUCUUCGAAAAUCCAAGAUGUCACCAGAAUUGUCUCUUUCAAGGAAGCAGAACUCUUCAAUGUCUGGGAGGAACUUGAACCAGACAGUGCCAGUGAGAUUUGAAUCAUCACCUGAGCAGUCAUUAGACAUUUUUCAUAAAAGUGCCCCAAAUAAAACUUGGACCCCUUCUGGCCAAACCAUGCAAUCAGUGGAAUCUGUCAGAUCUGGUAGUGGAGGAUGGCAAAUCCCACGUUAUGACUCAGAAACAGAUUUUUCAGAGUUUGGAGGUACAUGCUUACCAACCAAGUAAAAUUAAACAAUUCUAACAAACCUAGUGAGAUGGAAAGACUAAAGGCAUUUAGUACCAGGUUAUUAACUCACCUUAGUGAGCUAAUCUGAUGAAAAACUUCUUACAUAUUUUUCUCUGAAACAAUCGAACCCCUGGGGCUCCCCAAAUUGUUUUGAAGUUUUACUGAGGAAUAUCAUAUCAGAAAUUUCUCAAAGGAUAUUCUUCUCAAGAAUGUCAGGAUUACAGUAUGUCAAAUUAAUAUACAAGCAUCAUCAGGUAGUAUAUAGAUUCAAGUUUGGUCAUGCAUGAACCCAGGGUCGGGUCGCAAUAGGGGUUCAAAGGUUUGUAUAAGAAUAUAUAAAAAGAACUUCUUUUAAAAUCUUCUUCUCAAGAACCAUUUGCAAUAGAGAUUAAAAUUUUUCACACAAAGUUUGAUCUUUACAUUUUCAAAUAUUAAUAAGCUUUGAUGGUACUGUUGCCAUAGUAAGCUAGUGUACCUUAUAUUCCCAUAAUGCAUUAAAUCCAUUAAAAAUAUUUAUUGUGUUUCGAAAAAAAAUAUAUUGACAAAUUGUUCAUAUAAUCAGAGAAAUUUGUCAUUAACAAUAGUUUUUAUGUACUAGUAAAUUUUCAAGUGUUUAUAUUGAUUAUAUUUUUGUGUAAACCACAAAAUGUGAAAAGAUUUUGAAAAAUUAUUGUAAGGGUAUCCAUUCCCCAUAGUCUGUAUGAAUUUCAGAGAGAAAUUAUACCUAAUCAUAGUCAUUUUUAAAAUCAUAAUUGUAGUGUAAGUGGCAUAAUUGAUUGGGUUUUUUUUUUCUUUGCAUACCGUCAACAAUUUUUCACUCAUAUUGAGACAUCACCAGCUGUAUGUGAAGUGCCACAAAUUUAGACCUAUGCUUAGCACUCAGGGCCAUAGCAGUGAGGAUUCUUUUUUGUGCCAAUGCCUGUCGCGACAUGGGACCUCCAUUUUUAAGAUCAGUCAGCUAGAAACCGUCCACCUAGAGCCUACUAGCUGUCAUGGAAAUGCAACCAUAACAUUUCAGAAAUGUGUAUCUACCAAAGUUUAGACUCUACAUUUCAUCAUUCAUCUUGUCUGUGAUUUUUCUGUGUAAUGUGUAAUACAUGUAAUAUAUAUAUAUAUAUAUAUAUAUAUAUAUAUAUAUAUAUAGUGUAGGUACUGGUUCUGUUUGAGCUGCGAGGGUUGCUAUAACUGUGUAGUUAGUUACUAGUUCUAUACUUAUCUUAUUGACCUAAAUAUUUAGACAAGACCAUUGUAAUGAAGUACUUUUAACCUCUCAAAUUCUGUACGAUGAUCUCUUCUUCAUAUUUUAAGUCCAGAAAGGUCAUUAUGUAAGUUUUCCCUUUACUCAUAUGAAAUGUACAUGUAUAUCAAACUUUUUAUUAUGGGCCGGCUACUCUAUGAUAUAAGUUAGGAGAUUUCUGCGGGACAUGUGUCUGUUACCGCGGAAAUGUUCUAAUAAAGAAUGACGUCUUUUAUAUAUUUAUUUACUGUUUGACAAGGGUUUAUAUAUAUAUCAUUUUAUGACCAUGAAAAAAAAAAUUCAUGGUAUAAUGUGUAAAACUUUCGACUAUAAUUUUUAAAUGUCAUGACCUUUGCACUAUACACUUCGCAUAGCGAGGCAUUCUAUAAUUAGAAGACAGAAAAUCAAAUGUGUUUGACAAGCGAUGUAUGCUAGAGACGCCAUACCAUCAAGCUGUGUGUACACAGAUUGCACGAGAAUUGGACAGUCACAUGUCAAACUGGAGCAUUACAUUGAGAAUCGUAAAAUUUUGCCAUUAAUUUCGUCAAAUUGUAGGGUUAGGGAAAAGGGGGAGGGGGUAUAUCCGCAUUUAAUGUUUAUUUCUGUCCAAGUUGGAAUGCACAUUGACUGAGCUGUAUAAUGAGGUCUAUAUUGAGUCCACAUUGACUGAGCUGUAUAAUGAGCUCUAUAUUGAGUCCACAUUGAUUGAGCUGUAUAAUGAGGUCUAUAUUGAGUCCACAUUGACUGAGCUGUAUAAUGAGGUCUAUAUUGAGUCCACAUUGAUUGAGCUGUAUAAUGAGCUCUAUAUCGAGUCCACAUUCACUGAGCUGUAUAGUGAGACUUCUUAUCUCGCAAUAUUCAAAAAUGAAAUCAUAGCUCUAAAUCCAAAAAAAAAUUGGGGUAAGCGGACAGGGGUUGAUCCUUUAUUUCAAUUCUUCGGUUAAUUUGAUUAUAUUUCCACUACAAUUCACUACUACUACAUGUAUUUCAAAAAUAUCUCACGAGCCAGCCUAUAGAUCGAAUUUUUAAAAUGGCCAAUUUUGCCCAUAAUAAUAGCGGGAAAAGAACGAUGUCGAAAACGUGUGGGGAUAAUCCCCCCUAAUGCUGCGCAACUCAAUGCAAGUUGAGCUGUUUAAUGUAUUUUUUAAAAAGUUGAUUUAAAUUAAAAAUUAUUUUAAAAAUAUUGAAUUGCACGUAAAAAAACAAAAACCAACCCAGAUUUCAACGGAAAGAUUACAUUAGAUACGGAUUCAAUGUACAUGUGAUUAACGUUUUCCAGGCGAGGAUCUAGAAAAUUUUCAGGGUUUUCUGAAAAUAUUUAGUUCUUACACUUCCUAAAAAUGUUCCGGCCCAUGCAAGUGGUGCUUGCACCAAUGUUUCUCGUAUCUUUAUUGUGUGACGACAUGAAUAUACAUGUAUAAAUUAAAAUUAUGAUGUAGUGAU